rnacentral:rRNA from 1 species
AGUGAACGCUGGCGGUAGGCCUAAUACAUGCAAGUCGAACGGCAGCACGGUAAGAGUGUGCCCUUACGGUUGGCGAGUGGCGGAUGGGUGACGAGUACAUCGCAAUCUACUUUGACGUGGGUGACAACGUAGGGAAAGUUAUACUAAUAGCGCAUAUGAUCAACGGGAGAAAGCAGUAGAUAUUCGGACUUUUCGCGACUCAAUGAGAUGGUGCCGGAUCGCAUUAGCUAGUUGGUAAGGUAACGGCAUACCAAGGCGACGAUGCGUAGCCGAGCUGAGAGGAUGAUCGGCCACACUGGAACUGAGACACGGUCCAGACUCCUACGGGAGGCAGCAGUAGGGAAUCUUGCACAAUGGGCGAAAGCCUGAUCCAGCAAUACCGCGUGAGUGAUGAAGGCCUUCGGAUUGUAAAGCUCUUUUAUUAGGGAAGAACAGAUGCGUAUGUAACCACGGCCGUCUUGACGGUACCCAAUCAGAAAGCACCGGCUAACUACGUG